rnacentral:rRNA from 1 species
UACGUAGGGUGCGAGCGUUGUCCGGAAUUAUUGGGCGUAAAGAGCUCGUAGGCGGUUUGUCACGUCUGCUGUGAAAUCUCGAGGCUCAACCUCGGGCCUGCAGUGGGUACGGGCAGACUGGAGUGCGGUAGGGGAGAAUGGAAUUCCUGGUGUAGCGGUGGAAUGCGCAGAUAUCAGGAGGAACACCGAUGGCGAAGGCAGUUCUCUGGGCCGUAACUGACGCUGAGGAGCGAAAGCGUGGGGAGCGAACAGG